rnacentral:misc_RNA from 1 species
AACCCCUCAUCACGGUAGAUGUCGUCUUCUGGGUCACACACGCACACACACAAGAAAGCAUACUCUCUCACUCUCAGCGUGUGAGUGUCGCUUUUGCGGUUGUUCCUGCGCCUGUAAAACGCUGCGAGGCUUCUUUCACAUGCAUGCACUUCAUGUCGCCAGCCCCUCCUCCAUACCCGCACACUUCCACCGCCACUGCCGUUAUGUAUGUCGGUGCUCCUCUUUCUUACCGGACUUUCGCCCUUGUUAGGAGCUCUCUUUCUUUUUUGUCGGUUUUCUUCACUUUUUUGUCUACGUUGAAGGAUAGGGACACCUCGACGGGGCUUUCCAGUGUUCAGUCCCCUUGACACAGGAAGAGGCCAGAGUGAUGCUUACCGCUACGCACGUCGGCGAGGAGGCCCUGCGCGGCGCUGCGUCGGAGCGGCCGGCGGCAGUGCCCACAGCUUGUGCCACCCCUAUGAUCGGGCAGCGUGUCCGCGCGACUCGAAUGUAUCCUGCCGCCGGCCUUCAGCACUGCCUCCUGGUGUGGUGGAGGGCCUGAGUGUCACGCCUACUGGACUGCACCAGAGGUGGCGACCGGCGUGGUGAGGGAGCGGCUGUGAGGCGACCUGCGACGCGGCGGGUGGGUGUGGGUACAGGCUGAGGCAGGGGGCCGUGCUCUCGCAUGACCGCGUCGGCGCAUUGCUGCAACGCGCGCGCCUAGGCUUUCUUCGUGCCGCGCAACGGAGGCCUGCGCCAGGGCGAGGUGGGGUGGAGCUGGACUCACGCUAUAGGGCAGAUAAUAUACGCGUCUGAAAAAGAAAUUGUAUGUAGGUGAAUUUUCUUGUCUCAGUGUCUCUUGCCGCUCCCGUCCUUUGUGCUGGUGACUCUCCGCUUCCGCCACUCUUUGUUUUGGCUCGUCUCUGUAUAGGUGUUGGCGUGCGCCGGUGAGCGUAUGAGUGUCUUCAUUGAUGUGCAUUGGCGCGCUUUUUUCUCUCGUCGUUGGCCUUUUUGCUUGUGUGUAUGUGUACUCGCUGGCACGUGAGGCGGGUCGAUCCUACAUGACGUCCUCUCCCUCUGUCGCCCACGCGCACGCUACCGCACGAUACCCCCCCCCCCACCCCACCUACUUCUCGUUGUCGCUGUACCUCAAGCCGUUUUGUGUGCUCUCGUUUUGCCUCUUGCGUUGUGGUUCCUCUCCUCCUUUUUUUGUGUGUGUGCGUGUUAUCGCCGUUCGCAUGUGCUCUCAAAAUGUGCGAUAUAUAUAUAGAGAGAGAGAGAGAUUUUUUUAUUGCCCUUUUCACGUGCUAAUGCGUUGAUGUCAGUUUGAAAGCGAGUUGCUAUGGCAAAGGGCAGGAGACGUGUUUCUGCUGUGGUGUUGCCCUUUGGGUGGCUGUUGGUUUCGUAUGCUGGUGCAGCUCCUGCUGCCUUCUCUUUGUCUAGUUUAUUUUCAUUGUUGCUCUCUCACCCGAAUUUGUGUGUCCCUCUCCGAUUUUGUUCUUGUUCGCGCUACUAGAGUAGUGGUGAGAGGGUGCAAUGGAUGACUCGUUUUUCCCCCUUUUCUCUGUUGCCAUGUAUGAAGAUCUGCGCCCUCCCUUUACUUCUCUCUCUUGUCUUCUUUCUUCCCAGUCCCCUUUUCUUUACAUUGCAUCUUUUCUUUCUUUACCGGCUGAGCCUCUUCUUUGUUUUCUUUUAAGUGUUGAUGUGCUCUAUUUUUUUUUGUGUUGUUGUCCUCCUCCCCUUCCUUUCCCUACCCGUCCCGUGCUCCUGAUGCUGCACUCUGUCUCUGUCUCAGCCUUUUGGUGACUCUUUAGCGUACUGCAGUGUCUCUCUCCGUGUAAUCCCUCUCUGCCCACCGCUUUUCUGACGCUAUCAUCUUCGCUUGUUUUCUUCGUUACCUCUGUUCUCGUUCGUCCUUGUAUGUGUGUGUGUGCUGUAGUCUUUUUUUUUCGCUCUAUCUACCUUAUUUCCUUCUGCCCUUCACAACAAUAACCUACCCAUCCCUUGCCUACGCACCGACCCUCACACACACACACACACACACACAUACACAAAGGGGAAAGAAAGAGAGGGAAAUAAAGCACUAACUUGCACCGCCGCGUUGUAUCCCCUCUCCUCCUCCCGCCUUCCUUCUUCCCUUCUUCCCUUCUUUCCUUCUUUCUUACGUCUAGGCGUCUGUGCUGUGGAGCUGCACUCUUUGCUCCUGUGUUUGCGUGUGUGUGUGCUUCUGAUUGUUUGGUUGUUACCUUCAUGCUUGUCUGCUUACAUAUGUCUGCCUGUUUGUGUGUGUGUGUGUGUGGAGGGGGUUUCUAAAAGCUCGAUCACUUUCUCUGCUCGUUUUUUUUUUCGAGGUUUUGAUUUUGUCUCGUGCUUGGUCGCUUUUCACUUUGUCCACACGCACACACACACAGACAUACACACGCUGUAGGCUCGUAUUGCGUCGAUUUUCUCCUCCUCGUCGUUCCGAGGGUGCAACUCUGUUCUUUAGUGUCCAUCUCCGUGCGCGGUGCACGUAUUUUUCGCUGCUGUUUUCUUUCGCCGACAGCGUUUUUGUUGUGUUUUCGUACUUCUUAUUGUCCUUCCUGCAUUACAUGUUUAUUAGCUUUCCCUCUCUUGUUUUCUGUCCAUCUUCGUCCUGCGCUCCAGUGUCUCUCUCUCCGAGUGGGCCUUCUGUUCUUCUCUGCGGAGUUGUGGGCAACGGUACUGAUGACGCCAAGCAGAAACAAACUGACGUUGACCCUGUCUACUCCCCAGGACAGGUAAAACUGAG